rnacentral:rRNA from 1 species
UACGAACUGCGCGAACGUUAUUCGGAAUCACUGGGCUUACAGGGUGCGUAGGCGGCCAACCAGGUCAGGUGUGAAAUCCCACGGCUCAACCGUGGAACUGCGCUUGAAACCGGAUGGCUUGAGUGAGCUAGGGGUGCACGGAACUUCCAGUGGAGCGGUGAAAUGUGUUGAUAUUGGAAGGAACACCAGAAGCGAAAGCGGUGCACUGGGGCUUGUCUGACGCUGAGGCACGAAAGCCAGGGUAGCGAACGGG